rnacentral:rRNA from 2 species
GGACUACUGGGGUAUCUAAUCCUGUUUGCUCCCCACGCUUUCGUGCCUCAGUGUCAAUAAUCGUGAAGUAAGCUGCCUUCGCAAUUGGUGUUCUAUGUCAUAUCUAAGCAUUUCACCGCUACAUGACAUAUUCCGCUUACCUACGCGAUAUUCAAGAUAUAUAGUAUCAACGGCAGUUCCCAAGUUAAGCUCGGGGAUUUCACCACUGACUUACAUACCCACCUACGCACCCUUUAAACCCAGUGAAUCCGGAUAACGCUUGCACCCUCCGUAUUACCGCGGCUGCUGGCAC